AUUGAACGCUGGCGGUAUGCCUAACACAUGCAAGUCGAACGGCAGCACAGUAAGAGCUUGCUCUUACGGUUGGCGAGUGGCGGACGGGUGAGGAAUACAUCGGAAUCUACUUUUUCGUGGGGGAUAACGUAGGGAAACUUACGCUAAUACCGCAUACGACCUACGGGUGAGAGCAGAGGAUCUUCGGACCUUGCGCGAUUGAAUGAGCCGAUGUCGGAUUAGCUAGUUGGCGGGGUAAAGGCCCACCAAGGCGACGAUCCGUAGCUGGUCUGAGAGGAUGAUCAGCCACACUGGAACUGAGACACGGUCCAGACUCCUACGGGAGGCAGCAGUGGGGAAUAUUGGACAAUGGGGGCAAGCCUGAUCCAGCCAUACCGCGUGGGUGAAGAAGGCCUUCGGGUUGUAAAGCCCUUUUGUUGGGAAAGAAAAGCAGCAGGUUAAUACCCCGCUGUUAUGACGGUACCCAAAGAAUAAGCACCGGCUAACUUCGUG
rnacentral:rRNA from 1 species